rnacentral:rRNA from 1 species
UACGUAGGGUGCAAGCGUUGUCCGGAAUUAUUGGGCGUAAAGAGCUCGUAGGCGGUUUGUUGCGUCGGCUGUGAAAUCCCGAGGCUCAACCUCGGGUCUGCAGUCGAUACGAGCAAACUAGAGUGUUGCAGGGGAGACUGGAAUUCCUGGUGUAGCGGUGAAAUGCGCAGAUAUCAGGAAGAACACCCGUGGCGAAGGCGGCUCUCUGGGACGUGACUGACGCUGAGACGCGAAAGCGUGGGGAGCGAACAGG